rnacentral:sRNA from 1 species
CAUGUAUGGAUGUGUGGAUAUUCUAUGUCUGUAUUUAGAGUGCAUGUAUAUGGAUGUUCAUGUGCUGUGUGUGUGUGUGCGCACGCACACCCUGCCUCUUUGUGUGUGCAUGUGUAUACCUUGUGUGCCCAUGUAUCGGGGGUGUGUGUACCCUGCUUGUCUAUGUAUGGGGGAGCACACGUAGCCUGUGAGUUCUUAUUCUGCUGGGCAGGUGUGUGGAGGUGGUGGGGGAGGCUGAGCAUGAAAGGCCACUUGUGCCAGUUGGAGGAGGGUGGGCGCUGCUGCCUGCUGCCUCAGGACUUGGUGGGCCUGUGGGAGGCCGGGCUCCACCCACCAGCCUUCCCUGUUCUCGGUCCCCAGUUUAAGAGGCGAGUUCAGGAGUCCACACAGGUGCUACGGGAGCUGGAGACCUCCCUGAGGACCAACCACAUUGGGUGGGUGCAGGAGUUCCUCAAUGAAGAGAACCGUGGCCUGGAUGUGCUGCUCGAGUACCUGGCCUUUGCCCAGUGCUCUGUCACGUAAGCCCCCUGCUCCCAGCCCUCAUGCCGCUCCUCAGAGCUUUGAUCCCCGUCUCCCUGCAUCUCACCCACUCCCCUGGCCAGUUUCAAGCCAGGCAGCCCGAGCCUACCCUGGAACCCUCCAUUUGGCCUUGAGCGAUGCUCCUUCCAGAAGGCCUGCCCCCAACAGGGAGGGGUGGCCUCUCUUCCACCACUAUGUUCAGCACAGUGCCAAGAACACAG